CCCUGCCAUUUGUACACACCGCCCGUCGCUCCUACCGAUGAAUGGUCCGGUGAAAUUUUAAGAUUGUCACAAACUAUUAUGUUUAUGAUAAAAAUUUAAUUAAACCUUACCAUUUAGAGGAAGGAGAAGUCGUA
rnacentral:rRNA from 1 species